rnacentral:rRNA from 1 species
UACGGAGGGGGCGAGCGUUAUUCGGAAUUAUUGGGCGUAAAGGGCGCGUAGGCGGCUAAGCAAGUCAAAGGUGAAAUCCCUCGGCUCAACUGAGGAACUGCCUUUGAAACUGUUUGGCUUGAGUCCGGGAGGGGGUAGCGGAAUUCCCAGUGUAGCGGUGAAAUUCGUAGAUAUUCGGAAGAACACCAGUGGCGAAGGCGACUUACUGGACACGUAUUGACGCUGAGGUGCGAAAGCGUGGGGAGCAAACAGG